rnacentral:misc_RNA from 1 species
AGGAAUUUCCGGCAAGAGGAAGCUAGUUUUUGUUUGUAAAUACUGAUACAUGUAUUAAUAAAUAAAAAUGUCAACAAGUUUUAACCGCCAUGGUUGAUUAUUUUCAGGUACGAAGGAUUGUGGGCUUUUUACAAAGGACUUACCCCAAACCUGUUACGAGUCACGCCUGCCUGUUGUAUAACAUUUGUUGUGUAUGAAAAUAUCAUUUCUCUGUGUCACAAGAACAAGUAAUUCUCAAUACAGCCUUUGUUAUUUAUGUGAAGUAAGACUGUGUGGGAGAAUGGUCAAGUGUACAUGAUGAACUUGUAUUUCUGUGAAUAGAUUCUCGUGUGUGAAGAAAAGUUCUUAAUGUAUGUGGAGAAAAUAUGGAAUUUCUGUUUUUAUCUUCUCUUUUUUAAUUUUUUUUCUUUUUUGGUACACAAGAAGUAUUAUUUUUAUAAAUCCAUUUUUAUUCUAGGAGAACUUGUGAUAUACGUGUACAAUGUUCUAUAACUUUGUUGUCAUACAACAAAAUGUGAAUACUCUUGUGGUGAAAAUAAAGGAUAAAGGUAU